GCAUAAUGAUGAUGAAUUAAGUAUUAGACCGAUAAUAUUCAUGACUGGAAUAUAAACCUCCUACUCAUACUGA